CCGCGCCGCUGCCGGUGCCCCGGGAGGUGUGGCUGCUGGAGACGCCCCAGGCGGCCGACUUCUGGUGCGAGGGCGAGCCCUACCCGGGCCCCAAGGUCACGCCGUGAGCGGGGCGCCCCUGGGACCCCACCCCCCCAUCCCCUGCUUCCCGGGGCGGGGAAGGGGGAGGAGCCCCGGCGCUUCCAUCCAAAAGCCAUAAUGAAUCUUCUUCCUCCCCCCUCCCCCGAAGAAGACCCCUUUCCUGGAGUAGAAAAGUCACCCAGUAACUAGUCCACCGCCCCUUUUGUUUGUGUGUCUCCAUCCCCGGGGAUGUCAUCUCCAUCCUAACGGAGUGACCGUCUGUGUGCAUGACCCCUCCGGUUUGAAUCCUCUGGAUCCGGGUGGCUGGGAAGGGGAGAUUGGCCGUAAUUGGGCGGAGGAGACUCCUACCGCGGCAAGUGUUCAAACCAAGGUAUCCAUCCGAGGACAUGGAAGAGCUGCAUUUUUUAUGCUUCCAGGCAGUUGAAUGUAAACCCCCACCCGCAAGCCUGCAGUUAAAUUCCAUAUCCCCUACUUCCAACAGUUUCCUGCCAAAGCUGAGAAAAUUAAUAUGGUGACAAAUGGUUCACUUUCCCUCCAAGACUUCGGAUCAAGCGAUCUCAUGUGCCAGUGAACUGGGGCUUCCAGCUGUGUGGCUGAUGUGUUCAGUGAUGUCGUUAUUGGCAGCAUGGUGCCAGGAGCUCUCCAAGGAGGAAUGGCUAGGAGGAGGCCUACCUCCAACUGCACCAGGCCCAAGAGAGUUUUCCCGUGGUUGCAGUGGGACAAUAAUGAUGCUGAGUUCUACCUUAUUCUUCAGAAUUCCAUUCAAAAAUGAAUAAUAAGGUUCUCAGACAAGCAGCAACUUUUGGAAAAGCUUAAGGUGCUUUCCAAAAGUUUCCCUAAAAUCGCCAUUGACCAGAAAAGGAACAAUCUCCCUUGUUUGGGGUUUUCAUUGGAUUAUUCUACCAGAUGGUCGCCAUUUGCCUUGCGUUCUCUGAGCAGGAGAGGUCAGCAGUGAUGACAACAAAAGGCACCUUUUCUAGAGCUUACUAGGACUUGAGCAAGCCAUUGAGGAAGAGAAUCCCUCCCUGCUCGAAGGCUUCAGGACCAGGGAGCAAAGGGCCAAAGGAUUCAGCUGGCACCUUGAUGCACUGAACUGACUCCAGAUGCUGCUAUGUCAUGCUCCCUCCAUCACAUGGACUGUUUAACAACCAGACAGAGAGAUGACUUAAUGUGGUUUUGAGGACUACACCUACUCCUAAGAACAUAGGGUGUUUUCUUGUUUAUUAAAAUAUAAGAGACUAAUGAGCACACUGAAAUGAAUCAUUAAAUGUUUUUCUAUUUAAUACAAAAAAUGCAAUAAUUUCCUCUUACGGGUGAGAAGUAAUUCAAUAUAAAUGUUUCUGAUGCUCUUUUUUCCCCCUUGAGUAGUAACUGUUUUUAAUAAGUAUGCUUUGCAUGGAUUAAAAUGUUGCCUGUUUGCUAUUUAUUAAUGAAAGUGCCAGUAUAUUCAAGUAGCCUGCGUGUUCUCCAUAGGGUGGAUUCCUUGAACAUUACAUUAAGAGCUGUAACUUCCUUAAGUCCACCUGUUUUAUCCUUCUUUUACAUUCGUUUUCCUUAAAGCUGCCUUAGUCAUGUCGGCUUUGGAAGAAUCCAGUCCUUGCUGAUCCAUUCCCGGUGGUUCUGUGACUUGUACUAGUUCUGCUGCCCAGAGAGGAAGGCAGUAUAUGUUUAACUUAGAACCUUUUAGCCUCGGAUGUUCCACUGUGAUCAAACAUUGGAAGGGUGAUCCUACUCCACUUGAUCUAGGAACAAGAACUUGGAGUGUCCAACCAUUUCAAGAAAGAGGUGACAGACUAGAGAGACUGAUUAUUUAGAAUACACUGAGGCAUCUGGUGUCAAACACAAAAACUUUGCUAAGCCCAGCGUAGAUUCUGCUGCUUCUGAUGGGACCAUUUGGAGUUUCUGGAUUUAAGUGUUCACUGUAUCUUUUGGAAAAUAGAGGUGUAAAAUGUUCAACUUGUACAUUUCAAUUGCUUAUUAAAGAUUGCCUGGACCAAGGGUUCUUAACCUUUUUUGUCUUGGAUUCCUCAGAAUAAUGUUUUUGAAUGCAUAAGAUACACAGUAUUACAAAGGAAGCCAAUUAUAUUGAAUUAAUUAACAACAGAAAAAUUUAAAUUCAUGGACACCAGGUUAAGAACCCUUCGCAUAUACCAGAAAUGAUUACUUUAUGUGGGAAACCGUUUCUCCUGCCCAAGUAAUAGCAACUUCAGCAAACACAUGUAGUGGAUCCUUCAAGCUCUAUGUACCUUUAAGACAUCAGAUGGAAAGCAGCUGAAACCGCAAUUUAAAAGCACAAUAUUUGCCUCAACAGACAAAACUCUUUCUCUAUUUAACAAGAAAUCUGUGUAUCAUUGAAGAAAGAAACUGGCUUAAGUUUCUUUCCUCUUCUUGUAUUUCAUCCUGUGCUGCACUUGUUCAGGGACCACUCAGCCUCUUAGCAUCUCCAGCAACACAGUGUGUUUAAUGCUGACCAUCCUCCCCACUCCCUCCCCCUAGUUCCCUUAAAAUGGCCAUCAGCUGGCAUACUAGUGUGAAUAUUUACAUGCCGGUUUAAUUUCUUCCCUUUUCCCCAGCUGUUGGGAUGCUGAAAUAAAAGAGCACACUGGUUUCA
rnacentral:lncRNA from 1 species